GAACGCUAGCGACAGGCUUAACACAUGCAAGUCGAGGGGCAGCACUGGUAGCAAUACCGGGUGGCGACCGGCGCUCGGGUGAGUAACGCGUAUGCAACUUGCUUAUCAGAGGGGGAUAACCCGGCGAAAGUCGGACUAAUACCGCAUGAAGCAGGGAUCCCGCAUGGGAAUAUUUGCUAAAGAUUCAUCGCUGAUAGAUAGGCAUGCGUUCCAUUAGGCAGUUGGCGGGGUAACGGCCCACCAAACCGACGAUGGAUAGGGGUUCUGAGAGGAAGGUCCCCCACAUUGGUACUGAGACACGGACCAAACUCCUACGGGAGGCAGCAGUGAGGAAUAUUGGUCAAUGGCCGAGAGGCUGAACCAGCCAAGUCGCGUGAGGGAUGAAGGUUCUAUGGAUCGUAAACCUCUUUUAUAAGGGAAUAAAGUGCGGGACGUGUCCCGUUUUGUAUGUACCUUAUGAAUAAGGAUCGGCUAACUCCGUGCCAGCAGCCGCGGUAAUACGGAGGAUCCGAGCGUUAUCCGGAUUUAUUGGGUUUAAAGGGUGCGUAGGCGGCCUUUUAAGUCAGCGGUGAAAGUCUGUGGCUCAACCAUAGAAUUGCCGUUGAAACUGGGGGGCUUGAGUAUGUUUGAGGCAGGCGGAAUGCGUGGUGUAGCGGUGAAAUGCAUAGAUAUCACGCAGAACCCCGAUUGCGAAGGCAGCCUGCCAAGCCAUUACUGACGCUGAUGCACGAAAGCGUGGGGAUCAAACAGGAUUAGAUACCCUGGUAGUCCACGCAGUAAACGAUGAUCACUAGCUGUUUGCGAUACACUGUAAGCGGCACAGCGAAAGCGUUAAGUGAUCCACCUGGGGAGUACGCCGGCAACGGUGAAACUCAAAGGAAUUGACGGGGGCCCGCACAAGCGGAGGAACAUGUGGUUUAAUUCGAUGAUACGCGAGGAACCUUACCCGGGUUUGAACGCAUUCGGACCGAGGUGGAAACACCUUUUCUAGCAAUAGCCGUUUGCGAGGUGCUGCAUGGUUGUCGUCAGCUCGUGCCGUGAGGUGUCGGCUUAAGUGCCAUAACGAGCGCAACCCUUGCCACUAGUUACUAACAGGUAAAGCUGAGGACUCUGGUGGGACUGCCAGCGUAAGCUGCGAGGAAGGCGGGGAUGACGUCAAAUCAGCACGGCCCUUACAUCCGGGGCGACACACGUGUUACAAUGGCGUGGACAAAGGGAGGCCACCUGGUGACAGGGAGCGAAUCCCCAAACCACGUCUCAGUUCGGAUCGGAGUCUGCAACCCGACUCCGUGAAGCUGGAUUCGCUAGUAAUCGCGCAUCAGCCAUGGCGCGGUGAAUACGUUCCCGGGCCUUGUACACACCGCCCGUCAAGCCAUGGGAGCCGGGGGUACCUGAAGUCCGUAACCGCGAGGAUCGGCCUAGGGUAAAACUGGUGACUGGGGCUAAG
rnacentral:rRNA from 1 species